AUGGUCCUCGCUACCUUGAUCGCCUCCAUCACCUACGCCUCCGGGCUCAGCCCGCCCGGCGGCUUCGAAGGCGAGGACGACAGGAUCAACCCCUUCACCAUCUCCGGGACGCCCGUCCGCCGCAACACGUUCCCCAGGAGGUAUACGACCUUCUACUACUGCAACACGGCCGCCUUCGCGCUGUCUCUCUCCAUUAUGCUCCUGGUGGCCAGCGAGAACCUGCGUAGGCUGGCCAAGAUCAAGGUGCUGGAGAUCCUCGUGGCGUUGGACGUGCUGGCGCUGCUCAUAGCAUACAUCGCCGGCUCCACGUUUGAGUUGAAAGAGCUCGGGGUUUGCGCCGGGCUGGUGCUCAUCGUGCCGGUGGCCCUCGUCGUCAUGUCGUCUCGCGUUUGUGGGAAAUACUUCUGGGACGAACCCUGA
rnacentral:rRNA from 1 species